rnacentral:rRNA from 1 species
CCUACGGGAGGCAGCAGUGGGGAAUCUUGCGCAAUGGGCGAAAGCCUGACGCAGCAACGCCGCGUGCGGGAAGAAGGCUUUCGGGCUGUAAACCGCUUUCAGCAGGAACGAAAAUGACGGUACCUGCAGAAGAAGGAGCGGCCAACUAUGUGCCAGCAGCCGCGGUGAUACAUAGGCUUCAAGCGUUGUCCGGAUUUAUUGGGCGUAAAGAGUUCGUAGGCGGUCGAGUAAGUCGGGUGUGAAAAUUCUGGGCUCAACCCAGAGACGCCACCCGAUACUGCUUGACUUGAGUUCGAUAGGGGAGUGGGGAAUUCCUAGUGUAGCGGUGAAAUGCGCAGAUAUUAGGAGGAACACCGGUGGCGAAGGCGCCACUCUGGAUCGAUACUGACGCUGAGGAACGAAAGCAUGGGUAGCAAACAGGAUUAGAUACCCUGGUAGUCCAUGCCGUAAACGGUGGGCACUAGGUGUGGGUUUCUAUUAACGAAAUCCGCGCCGUCGCUAACGCAUUAAGUGCCCCGCCUGGGGAGUACGGUCGCGAGACUAAACUACAAUAGAAGUAGACGGCGUGAGACGUGCCGACGGACGACGACGAGGGAGGUAGG